AUUUUAUUAGUAUAACUAUUACAUUUAGUUUCCACCUAAAAAAUCCAAGAGAUAAAAUA
rnacentral:tRNA from 1 species